rnacentral:rRNA from 1 species
GAUGAACGCUAGCGGCAGGCCUAAUACAUGCAAGCCGAACGGCAAGUUUGAUAGCAAUAUUGGACCUAGAGUGGCGCAAGGGUGCGUAACACGUAUGCAACCUGCCCGCGACAGGAGGAUAGCUCCCCGAAAGGGGAAUUAACCCUCCAUAACACCUUGAGAAGCCAUCUGUUCAUGGUUAAACGGCAGGGGUUCGGGGAUGUGCAUGCGGUUCAUUAGCUAGUUGGCGGGUUAAAGGCCGACCAAGUCGGGAAUCAAUAGGGGUACUGCGAGGGGGGUCCCCGAAACUGGGACUGAGACACGGGCCAGACGCGAACGGGCGGCAGCAGUAGGGAAUAGUGGACAAUGGUUGUAAGACUGAUCCAGCCAUGCCGCGUGGAGGAAGAAGGGCUUCUGAGACGUAAACUGCUUUUUACAGUGGAUAAAAUAGCAGUGAGCGGGGAAUUGAAGGUAACAGGGGAAUAAGCCACGGCUAACUACGUG